AUUUUCCCUCAUCGAUUCUCCGGCGGAAAACCGAAAAAAGGUAAUUCAUAAUCUGAACCUAAACCUUUUCCGAUAUCAUUUUUAUUGUUGGCCACAGAAGGUAGGAAAAGAUAACACUCUGGUGUCCAAGUCACUAAGGGCAUGGCUGAGCUUAAGACUUCUGGGAGACCUAUAGACCAGUUGUUGGAGAAGGUUCUCUGCAUGAACAUUCUAUCUUCUGAUUACUUCAGAGACCUUUUGCGCCUGAAAACUUAUCAUGAAGUGAUUGAUGAAAUCUAUAAUCAAGUUGACCAUGUGGAACCAUGGAUGACUGGCAACUGUCGUGGUCCUUCAACAGCCUUCUGCCUUCUCUACAAGUUCUUCACAAUGAAACUUACUGUCAAGCAAAUGCAUGGCCUGUUAAAGCAUCCAGAUUCUCCUUACAUUAGAGCUAUUGGGUUCCUUUAUCUGAGAUAUCUUGGUGAUUUUAAGACAUUAUGGGGUUGGUAUGAGCCUUACCUCAAAGAUGAUGAGGAAUUCUCUCCUGGAUCCAGUGGGCAAAUGACCACAAUGGGUGUAUAUGUGCGUGACUUAUUUCUCGGGCAGUAUUAUUUUGACACACUACUACCCCGCAUUCCUGUUCCUGUCGUGCGGACAGCAGUUGCCAGUCUCGAAAAAAUGAAUCUGCCGACCAAACUUUCUGGGUCGAUUGGGGAUUCUAGUCGUGGAUCUGAGGAAACUUCUCGCCGGCCACCUUCUGUCAAAGCUUCCCUUUCAGUGUCCUUUGGUCAGCGGGCACCUCAUCGUGCAUCAACUAGAGAUUCAUCUCCCAUCCGAAGAACAAUUGCACCACCAUCCUAUGAUAAGGAUGGUGCAAAUGGUUCAAGACGUUCCCCCAGCAUGCGCCGGAGUCAAAGCCGUGAUUUAUCUGACCGGGAAAAUUCUGAAAGGGACAGGGGCCGGGACAGGGACAGGGACAGGGACA
rnacentral:misc_RNA from 1 species